AAAAAAAACCAUCCUUCAAACUUAAACAACAAAAUCACAUUCCUUCUUCUUCCACAUUAUUUCAUUUUUACCAGACAAACAGAUUUUCAUAUUCUUCACAAACCUCCAUAAAUCCACCACUAAUUUAUAUCAUCAUCUUCUCCACAAACCAAAUCUAAACUCAUUAUCAUAAACCACCUCACAAUCAGACCUCUCACUCACUUUAUCACUUUAACCAUACCAUUCAUCAAGUUUAUAAACUGUUACACCAUUCAAGUACCAUAACAAUAUUUCAUGACCAAAUUCCAUCAACAAUAAUCAAUAACAGUAACAAAAAAGGAGAGCAAAUAUGUUGGAAGUGAAGCACCUCUGACGGCCAUAACUGGUUCACAUCCCAACCGCCAAGCACCACCAUAUUCCUCUCGGUUCUCUGUCUCAUCUUCUCCAAGCAAUAACCGCGAUGUUGUCUCUUCAUAUGUGAUUUGGAGGCUUCGAGCUAUUCAACAAAUUUUUUGUGUAUCGAAACUCGAAAAAAGUUGCAAAGUUGUUGAUUGGUGAGUAAACUAUGAAAUAUUGUUUGAUAUGAUUCAAUUUUCUCACCGAUUCUGGUUACAAAGUAUUGGUCAAGCUGUAUUGUUUGUGUUAUUAUGUUAGGUUCUACGUUUUUGUGUAUCGUUGUGCGUUGACGAAAUUGCGUUAUCGUUUUGUGCUUCGGUGUUCUUGCUUCUAUUAUUGUGUCGUUAUGUGUUUUCUGAAAAAAGAUGGAUAGGAACAUGUAGCUUGUUGUGAGUGUGAUGCUGUGAUAUAUACAUAAAACUAAUUGUUUU